AGAGUUUGAUCAUGGCUCAGAUUGAACGCUGGCGGCAGGCCUAACACAUGCAAGUCGAGCGGUAGCACAGAGAGCUUGCUCUCGGGUGACGAGCGGCGGACGGGUGAGUAAUGUCUGGGAAACUGCCUGAUGGAGGGGGAUAACUACUGGAAACGGUAGCUAAUACCGCAUAACGUCGCAAGACCAAAGUGGGGGACCUUCGGGCCUCAUGCCAUCAGAUGUGCCCAGAUGGGAUUAGCUAGUAGGUGGGGUAAUGGCUCACCUAGGCGACGAUCCCUAGCUGGUCUGAGAGGAUGACCAGCCACACUGGAACUGAGACACGGUCCAGACUCCUACGGGAGGCAGCAGUGGGGAAUAUUGCACAAUGGGCGCAAGCCUGAUGCAGCCAUGCCGCGUGUAUGAAGAAGGCCUUCGGGUUGUAAAGUACUUUCAGCGAGGAGGAAGGCGUUAAGGUUAAUAACCUUGGCGAUUGACGUUACUCGCAGAAGAAGCACCGGCUAACUCCGUGCCAGCAGCCGCGGUAAUACGGAGGGUGCAAGCGUUAAUCGGAAUUACUGGGCGUAAAGCGCACGCAGGCGGUCUGUCAAGUCGGAUGUGAAAUCCCCGGGCUCAACCUGGGAACUGCAUUCGAAACUGGCAGGCUAGAGUCUUGUAGAGGGGGGUAGAAUUCCAGGUGUAGCGGUGAAAUGCGUAGAGAUCUGGAGGAAUACCGGUGGCGAAGGCGGCCCCCUGGACAAAGACUGACGCUCAGGUGCGAAAGCGUGGGGAGCAAACAGGAUUAGAUACCCUGGUAGUCCACGCCGUAAACGAUGUCGACUUGGAGGUUGUGCCCUUGAGGCGUGGCUUCCGGAGCUAACGCGUUAAGUCGACCGCCUGGGGAGUACGGCCGCAAGGUUAAAACUCAAAUGAAUUGACGGGGGCCCGCACAAGCGGUGGAGCAUGUGGUUUAAUUCGAUGCAACGCGAAGAACCUUACCUACUCUUGACAUCCAGAGAACUUAGCAGAGAUGCUUUGGUGCCUUCGGGAACUCUGAGACAGGUGCUGCAUGGCUGUCGUCAGCUCGUGUUGUGAAAUGUUGGGUUAAGUCCCGCAACGAGCGCAACCCUUAUCCUUUGUUGCCAGCGAUUCGGUCGGGAACUCAAAGGAGACUGCCAGUGAUAAACUGGAGGAAGGUGGGGAUGACGUCAAGUCAUCAUGGCCCUUACGAGUAGGGCUACACACGUGCUACAAUGGCAUAUACAAAGAGAAGCGACCUCGCGAGAGCAAGCGGACCUCAUAAAGUAUGUCGUAGUCCGGAUUGGAGUCUGCAACUCGACUCCAUGAAGUCGGAAUCGCUAGUAAUCGUAGAUCAGAAUGCUACGGUGAAUACGUUCCCGGGCCUUGUACACACCGCCCGUCACACCAUGGGAGUGGGUUGCAAAAGAAGUAGGUAGCUUAACCUUCGGGAGGGCGCUUACCACUUUGUGAUUCAUGACUGGGGUGAAGUCGUAACAAGGUAACCGUAGGGGAACCUGCGGUUG
rnacentral:rRNA from 2 species